rnacentral:rRNA from 1 species
CGCUGGCGGCGUGCUUAACACAUGCAAGCCGAACGGUGACCCAGGGCUUGCCCUGGUGAUCAGUGGCGAACGGGUGAGUAACACGUGGGCAACCUGCCCUGACUUCGGGAUAACUCCUCGAAAGAGGAGCUAAUACCGGAUACGACCACUUCGGACAUCCGAUGGUGGUGGAAAGUUUUUCGGUCAGGGGAUGGGCCCGCGGCCUAUCAGCUAGUUGGUGGGGUAAUGGCCUACCAAGGCGACGACGGGUAGCCGGCCUGAGAGGGCGACCGGCCACACUGGGACUGAGACACGGCCCAGACUCCUACGGGAGGCAGCAGUGGGGAAUAUUGCGCAAUGGGCGAAAGCCUGACGCAGCGACGCCGCGUGAGGGAUGAAGGCCUUCGGGUUGUAAACCUCUUUCAGCAGGGACGAAGCGAAAGUGACGGUACCUGCAGAAGAAGCACCGGCUAACUACGUG